CUUGAAAUACCACCCUGGUUUGUUUGAGGUUCUAACCUUGGCCCGUGAUCCGGGUCGGGGACAGUGCAUGGUAGGCAGUUUGACUGGGGCGGUCUCCUCCCAAAGCGUAACGGAGGAGUACGAAGGUACGCUAGGUACGGUCGGAAAUCGUGCUGAUAGUGCAAUGGCAUAAGCGUGCUUAACUGCGAGACCGACAAGUCGAGCAGGUGCGAAAGCAGGUCAUAGUGAUCCGGUGGUUCUGUAUGGAAGGGCCAUCGCUCAACGGAUAAAAGGUACUCUGGGGAUAACAGGCUGAUACCGCCCAAGAGUUCAUAUCGACGGCGGUGUUUGGCACCUCGAUGUCGGCUCAUCUCAUCCUGGGGCUGUAGCCGGUCCCAAGGGUAUGGCUGUUCGCCAUUUAAAGAGGUACGUGAGCUGGGUUUAAAACGUCGUGAGACAGUUUGGUCCCUAUCUGCCGUGGGCGUUGGAUAUUUGAAGGGGGCUGCUCCUAGUACGAGAGGACCGGAGUGGACGAACCUCUGGUGUACCGGUUGUGACGCCAGUCGCAUCGCCGGGUAGCUAUGUUCGGAAGAGAUAACCGCUGAAAGCAUCUAAGCGGGAAACUCGCCUUAAGAUGAGAUAUCCCUGGGGACUUGAUCCCCUUGAAGGGUCGUUCGAGACCAGGACGUUGAUAGGUCAGGUGUGUAAGCGCAGUAAUGCGUUCAGCUAACUGAUACUAAUUGCCCGUAAGGCUUGAUCCUAUAACA
rnacentral:rRNA from 1 species